CUUUACUGUAGCUUGGAAUUGGGUUCGGGCUUUGCUUGCGCAGGAUAGGUGGGAGACUUUGAAGUCAUCCUUGUGGGGGUGAUGGAGUCAACGGUGAGAUACCACUCUGGUGAGGCUAGAAUUCUAACUCAUUCCCGUUAUCCGGGAAGAGGACAAUUUCAGGUGGGCAGUUUGACUGGGGCGGUCGCCUCCUAAAAGGCAACGGAGGCGCGCAAAGGUUCCUUCAGGCUGGUUGGAAAUCAGCCGUAGAGUGUAAAAGCAGAAGGGAGCUUGACUGUGAGACUGACAAGUCAAACAGGGACGAAAGUCGGCUUUAGUGAUCCGACGGCACUGAGUGGAAGGGCCGUCGCUCAACGGAUAAAAGUUA
rnacentral:rRNA from 1 species